GGAGAUGGCUGUGGCUUAGAGGAAGUGUCUCGGCUUCAUAUGCAGAAGGUCCCAGGUUCAAUCCCCAGCAUCUCCU
rnacentral:tRNA from 1 species